rnacentral:rRNA from 1 species
GAUGAACGCUGGCGGCGUGCCUAAUACAUGCAAGUCGAGCGAAUGGAUUAAGAGCUUGCUCUUAUGAAGUUAGCGGCGGACGGGUGAGUAACACGUGGGUAACCUGCCCAUAAGACUGGGAUAACUCCGGGAAACCGGGGCUAAUACCGGAUAACAUUUUGAACCGCAUGGUUCGAAAUUGAAAGGCGGCUUCGGCUGUCACUUAUGGAUGGACCCGCGUCGCAUUAGCUAGUUGGUGAGGUAACGGCUCACCAAGGCAACGAUGCGUAGCCGACCUGAGAGGGUGAUCGGCCACACUGGGACUGGAACCCGGCCCAGACUCCUACGGGAGGCAGCAGUAGGGAAUCUUCCGCAAUGGACGAAAGUCUGACGGAGCAACGCCGCGUGAGUGAUGAAGGCUUUCGGGUCGUAAAACUCUGUUGUUAGGGAAGAACAAGUGCUAGUUGAAUAAGCUGACACCUUGACGGUACCUAACCAGAAAGCCACGGCUAACUACGUGCCAGCAGCCGCAGUAA